rnacentral:piRNA from 1 species
UGGUCAUGCCUGCUUUGUACCCACUCCAUU